AGACCUCAUCACCACCUGACCAGAGACACCAUCACCACCUGACCACAGAGACCUCAUCACCACCUGACCAGAGACCUCAUCACGGCCCAGAGCUCAGAGCAGCAUGGAGUAACAGACCAAAGAAACAGAAACUAAUCAUCAUAACAUCGUGCUCGCUGAUUGGGAGAUCGAUUUACAGCACAGUGCAAAAGUAAUGGCACUAACGAGGCACUCGAGCUAACGGAAAAAAGAAAAGAUUCAAGAUCCAUCGUAGGCUGCAGAGCAAACGCCCUCGUUCACUCGUCCCCUUUCAUUAACGGCAAAUCUGAUCACUGUGUUUUGUUUUCAUGCCAUGAAGGUGAAGUUUUCAGGGGGUGUCGGUGAGAUCAGACAGCCACAGUGAUACCUUCAUCAAAGAGCAACGUUGCCACACCGAUCAACAACUGAACGUGAUGCAUUCAUCGUUCAUCGUCCAAUCAGAUCUGUUCAUCAUUUAUCAUUCAAUUAGAUCUGAUAAAUGUUAAUUGUCCAAUCAGAUCUAUUUAUAAUUUAUCAUUCAAUCACAUCUGUUCAUUGUCCAAUCAGAUUUGUGUAUCGUUUUUUGUCAAUUUGUUCAUCGUCCAAGCUGUUCAUCGUUUACUGUCCAAUCAGAUCUGAUCAUCGUUCAUCAUCCAUCAUCAGAUCUGUAACCCACUCAAACAUCAAACCCACUGCCAUAUAUUACUUUCCCAUCAUAUGAUUCUGAAAGGUCAUUUCUUUUUUCCAUCCAGAGAUCAUCAGAUCUUCAGUCAGAUCACCAUCCAAUCUGUAAUACUGUAAUACCACCAAAAUGCACUUUAUGGCAAUCCCACAAUCCUGUCCAACAGAUUAUUGAAAACACACGGAAUCCAUAAAGAUCGUGAGAGAAUUCACUUCUUCAUCACUCUGUGUCUGUAAACUGAGUGGGUGGGGCCAGCAUUCAUUCGCCUGUCAAUCACACAGACAAUAGCCAAUCAUGUGCAUAUAAGGUGUAAAAAAGUGUGUAAAAAGUUUAUGAUGUGAGUGUAAAUGUAAUGAUGCGAUACAAUAUGUGGUACAGUGUGUUGUGUUAAAAUGCACAACAAUAUGCAUGCUAACAUGUUUUACGAUGUGUUACAAUGAUUGUGUUACAAUGUUAAAAUGUGUGUUACAAUGUGUUAUGAUGUGUGUUACAAUGUAUGAUGUGUGUGUUAACAUAUUACUAUGCGUGCGUUAAAAUGUUACUGUGUUACAAAUGUAUGUGUUAUGAGCUGUGUGUUACAACGUGUGCAUUACAAUGUGUUACGUUGUGUGUGGUGUGUGUGUGUAUGGAGUGUGGUAUGGUGAAGUGGCGUGAUGGGAAUUCGUUAGCUCUGUUGAUGAAGAGCUGUGAGGAUGAGGAUGAGGAUGUUGAUAUUUUCCAGCUCUAUCUGACUGAAAGGAAGGUUAAUGAAGACUACUGAAGCAAAGGAAGAAAAAAUAAAUCAGUCCAAUUAGCAGUGUUUCUUUUUCACUAAAGCCAAACAUUCCCAUGAGGACACGCCUCAUCCCUGGUCCCUGGAGAAAGAUGAGACGAGAGAGAGAGAGAGAGAGAGAGAGAGAGAGAGAGAGAGGAAAUGUCCUUUCUGCUCGGCUCUGGCAGCGAACGCAGCGCUCUGAUUUGUGGAGCCCUGAGGGGAUGCGGAUGAAACACGGCCCCAUCUGUCACACGGGGAAUUGAACACGGCCUGUUACAGUAAAGUGUAUUUGCAUCCUCGAACUGCUUUAUUACUGAGCCAGCUGAGGCCUCAGAGACCCGAGCGUAACUCACACACACCUUUAAACAGAUCUGACUCGGGAUCAAGGGGAGGGACAGAGGGGGGCAAUGACGGACGAGGGGGUUUCUGGGUGGGGGCAUCAACAACAAGACAGGUCUCUCUUUGACGUCUCUCUCUGGGGUUAUUGAGUGAGACAGGACAGAAGCAGAAAAGAAACCAAGAAGGAAAUCAGGAAGGAAAAACAUACACACACACACACACACACACACACACACACACACAGUCAUUCUUCUCUCUCUAUUAUUCUCUCUCUUUAUAUAUAAACACACACACACACACACAUGUAGGUUCUACCCUGAUUGUCUCAUGCUUUUCUCUCUCUUUUGAGCCCCAGCAGGGACUCAACCUACAUAUCUGAAUUUGCAAUCCAACGUGUUAUACACCACAAAGCUUUUAUGAUAGGAAAAGGAUUUAAACCUUUGUUCAUGGAGCUACAAUCCACCGCCUAGCCCUCGGCCAUCCUA